UACGUAGGGGGGCUAGCGUUGUCCGGAUUUAUUGGGCGUAAAGAGCGUGUAGGCGGCCAGGUAGGUCUGCUGUGAAAACUCGAGGCUCAACCUCGAGACGUCGGCGGAAACCAUCUGGCUAGAGUCCGGAAGAGGAGAGUGGAAUUCCUGGUGUAGCGGUGAAAUGCGUAGAUAUCUGGAGGAAUACCGGUGGCGAAGGCGGCAUCCUGGACCGACAUUGACGCUGAGGAGCGAAAGCUAGGGGAGCAAACGGG
rnacentral:rRNA from 1 species